rnacentral:rRNA from 1 species
CACGCAGGCGGUGCGGCGCGUUUCGCGUGACAGCGGGGGGGCUUAACUCCCCGAGGGUGCGAAAGACGGCCGCACUUGAGGGCCAGAGAGGGACACGGAAUUCCGGGUGGAGUGGUGAAAUGCGUAGAGAUCCGGAGGAACACCGAAGGCGAAGGCAGUGUCCUGGCUGGUGACUGACGCUAAGGUGCGAAAGCCAGGGGAGCGAACGGGAUUAGAUACCCCGGUAGUCCUGGCCGUAAACGAUGACCACCAGGUGUGGGAGGGAUCGACCCCUUCUGUGCCGCAGUUAACACACUAAGUGGUCCGCCUGGGGAGUACGGUCGCAAGAUUAAAA